rnacentral:rRNA from 1 species
CAAUAGGGAAUCUUCCACAAUGGGCGAAAGCCUGAUGGAGCAACGCCGCGUGUGUGAUGAAGGGUUUCGGCUCGUAAAACACUGUUGUAAGAGAAGAAUGACAUUGAGAGUAACUGUUCAAUGUGUGACGGUAUCUUACCAGAAAGGAACGGCUAAAUACGNGCCAG